CAUGCAGUCGAACGAUGAAGCCUAGCUUGSUGGGUGGAUUAGUGGCGAACGGGUGAGUAACACGUGAGCAACCUGCCCCUGACUCUGGGAUAAGCGCUGGAAACGGCGUCUAAUACUGGAUAUGUCCCAUCACCGCAUGGUGUGUGGGUGGAAAGAUUUUUCGGUUGGGGAUGGGCUCGCGGCCUAUCAGCUUGUUGGUGAGGUAAUGGCUCGCCAAGGCGUCGACGGGUAGCCGGCCUGAGAGGGUGACCGGCCACACUGGGACUGAGACACGGCCCAGACUCCUACGGGAGGCAGCAGUGGGGAAUAUUGCACAAUGGGCGGAAGCCUGAUGCAGCAACGCCGCGUGAGGGAUGACGGCCUUCGGGUUGUAAACCUCUUUUAGCAGGGAAGAAGCGAGAGUGACGGUACCUGCAGAAAAAGCACCGGCUAACUACGUGCCAGCAGAAGCUGCCUUGUGGGUAGUGUCCAGUGCGUUAUCCGGAAUUAUUGGGCGUAAAGAGCUCGUAGGCGGUCUGUCGCGUCUGCUGUGAAAUUCCGAGGCUCAACCUCGGGCUUGCAGUGSGUACGGGCAGACUAGAGUGCGGUAGGGGAGAUUGGAAUUCCUGGUGUAGCGGUGGAAUGCUCAGAUAUCAGGAGGAACACC
rnacentral:rRNA from 1 species